GCCGGAGUGGCGGAAUUGGCAGACGCCCGGGACUUAAAAUCCCGUGAGAGAAAUCUCGUGCCGGUUCGACCCCGGUCUCCGGCACCA
rnacentral:tRNA from 1 species